UACGAAGGGUGCAAGCGUUACUCGGAAUUACUGGGCGUAAAGGGUGCGUAGGUGGUUUUUUAAGUCCGUUGUGAAAUCCCUGGGCUCAACCUGGGAAUGGCAGUGGAUACUGGAAAGCUAGAGUGCGGUAGAGGGUAGUGGAAUUCCCGGUGUAGCAGUGAAAUGCGUAGAGAUCGGGAGGAACAUCCAUGGCGAAGGCAGCUACCUGGACCAACACUGACACUGAGGCACGAAAGCGUGGGGAGCAAACAGG
rnacentral:rRNA from 1 species